rnacentral:rRNA from 1 species
CUGGCUCAGGAUGAACGCUGGCGGCGUGCUUAACACAUGCAAGUCGAACGAGGCUGCAUUGCGGAAGUUUUCGGAUGGAAGCGGUGCAGACCGAGUGGCGGACGGGUGAGUAACGCGUGGGGAACCUGCCCCAUUCCGGGGGAUACCAGUUGGAAACGACUGUUAAUACCGCAUAAGCGCACAGUGAGACAUCUCACAGUGUGAAAAACUGAGGUGGAAUGGGAUGGCCCCGCGUCUGAUUAGCCAGUUGGCAGGGUAACGGCCUACCAAAGCGACGAUCAGUAGCCGGCCUGAGAGGGCGACCGGCCACAUUGGGACUGAGACACGGCCCAAACUCCUACGGGAGGCAGCAGUGGGGAAUAUUGCACAAUGGGGAAACCCUGAUGCAGCGACGCCGCGUGAGUGAAGAAGUAUUUCGGUAUGUAAAGCUCUAUCAGCAGGGAAGAAGAUGACGGUACCUGCACAAGAAGCCCGGCUAACUACGUGCC